rnacentral:snRNA from 1 species
GGAUGUGAGGGCGAUCUGGCAGCGACAUCUGUCACCCCACUGAUUGCCAGGGUUGGCUCAGCUGAUCUGGCCGGCUAGGCGGGUGUCACCCCCCCUCACCCUCCAUGUGCAUCCCUCCUGAAGCUGCGCUCGGACGAAGAGGACGGCCUUCCCCGAAUAGAGACGGAUCGGUCUUCAGUCGAGGGUGUACGCGUAGCUGCGCUCCCCUGCUAGGACCUCCAAACAAGCUCUCAAGAAGAGAAAGUUCAUCAGUUAUAACUCGACACAUUUUAACUUUGGAAAAGU